rnacentral:rRNA from 1 species
GACGAACGCUGGCGGCGUGCUUAACACAUGCAAGUCGAACGGAAAGGCCUGCUUUCCCUUGUGGAUUGCGGGUACUCGAGUGGCGAACGGGUGAGUAACACGUGAGUGAUCUGCCCCCAACUUGGGUAUAAGCCUGGGGAAACUGGGUCUAAUUCCCGAUAGGACUGCAGGGUGGUGCCUGUGGUGGAAACCGAUUUUCUAGUGGUUGGGGAUGAGCUCGCGGCCUAUCAGCUUGUUGGUGGGGUAAUGGCCUACCAAGGCGGCGACGGGUAGCCGGCCUGAGAGGGUGGACGGCCACAUUGGGACUGAGAUACGGCCCAGACUCCUACGGGAGGCAGCAGUGGGGAAUAUUACACAAUGGGCGGAAGCCUGAUGCAGCGACGCCGCGUGGGGGAUGACGGCCUUCGGGUUGUAAACUCCUUUCGACCGCGAGGAAGCCACCUGGUUGGAAGGGUGGUGACGGUAGUGGUAGAAGAAGCACCGGCUAACUACGUG